AAGUUGUCGGGGGAGUGGGUGUGCUCAUUAUUCCUGUUGCCUCCUGGCUAGUGAAUACUGAUAUCGGGCUGGCGAAAUCUCUCUGGGUGCUGGGCACGCCCCCUUAAGCCGGUGGGGAUGGGGGGGGGGUGCCUCUGGUCUUAUUUGGGAAGGGAGGGAUGAUUGAAAGCUGCCCUUCGUUGGAGAAAACCUUUGUAAAGGAGAUUCUGGGUAAUGUUUUCGUCUCUUUAUUCCCUCUCCCAGUUCGGGCACUUUGAGGUGUAUCUGUAGGAGCAAUGUAGGGACUGUCCCACUUGAGGUGGUGUUGUAGAGAGUGGAAUCUUGGGUCAAACCCUGGAUUCGAACGCGGUUCCACUGUUGGCUGGCUGUUUGACCUUGCGCGUUUCUCACCACAGUGCCUCAGUAGUCUUAUCUGUAAAAUGAGAUAAAAAUCCGAAGCGGUGGAAACAGUGUCCACCACGAAGAUUUUUUCUUUUCUUGCUGGUGGAGAGGAGAAAGUUCGAAUUUUCAGGGCUGAAUAAUAACUCCCUUCGCCUCCAAAAAACAUAGGCAAACUCACACGCCUACACAGAAGACACAAAAGGCGUCAUGACACAUUGGUAAGAUUAUGGUACAAAUAUGUACACGGCGAGAUGGAGAAACACUGGAGAGAGGAAGAGUGACUCUGGGGAAGGUUUUGUGGAGAGAAGUCAGGUUCUUUUCUUUGCUGGAUCUGGAAUCAUGAGUAACAAGAAGCUAAGACGAGUGGGUUUGUCACAAGAACUGUGUGACCGUCUGAGCAGACAUCAGAUUGUUACCUGUCGGGACUUUUUAUGUCUUUCCCCACUGGAAGUUAUGAAGGUGACUGGCCUGAGUUAUCGAGGUGUUCAUGAACUUCUGUGUACGGUCAGCAGGGCUUGUGCCCCACAGAUGCAAACGGUUUAUGGGAUAAAGACACAAAGGUCUGCUAAUCACUUGCCAGCUUUCUUAUCUACGACCCUCUCUGCUUUGGAUGAAGCCCUACAUGGUGGUGUUGCUUGUGGAUCCCUCACAGAGAUUACAGGUCCACCAGGUUGUGGUAAAACUCAGUUUUGUAUAAUGAUGAGUGUAUUGGCUACAUUACCCACCAACAUGGGAGGAUUAGAAGGAGCUGUUGUGUACAUUGACACAGAGUCAGCAUUUAGUGCUGAAAGACUGAUCGAGAUAGCAGAAUCCCGAUUUCCUAGAUAUUUUAACAUUAAAGAAAAAUUACUUUUGACAAGUACCAAAGUUCAUGUUUUCCGAGAACUUACUUGUGAAGAAGUUCUACAAAGGAUUGAAUCUUUGGAAGAAGAAAUUAUUUCAAAAAAAGUUAAAGUUGUGAUUAUUGAUUCCAUUGCUUCUGUGGUCAGAAAGGAAUUUGAUACACAACUUCAAGGCAAUAUGAGAGAAAGAAACAAAUUUUUGGCCAAAGGAGCAUCCUUACUGAAGUAUUUGGCUGAGGAAUUUUCAAUCCCAGUUAUCUUGACGAAUCAAAUUACAGCCCAUCUGAGCAGAGCCCUUGCUUCUCAGGCAGACCUGGUGUCUCCAGCUGAUGAUUUGUCCCUGUCUGAAGCCAGAUCUGCUCCUGAAGACUCAGACUGGCACUGGACAAGAAGAGAUCAAGGACAAGGAUUGAGGAAGGAGCUUCUGGAUCCAGUUGUGUGAUUGCUGCACUAGGAAACACCUGGAGUCACAGUGUGAAUACCCGACUGAUCCUCCAGUACCUUGAUUCAGAGAGAAGACAGAUUCUCAUCGCCAAGUCCCCUCUGGCUCCCUUCACCUCAUUUGUCUACACCAUCAAGGCAGAAGGCCUGGUUCUUCAAGACCAACAGAGGCCAUAGGAAUACUGUGACCUUUGUCUACAGCUGAUGGGGGCAUGGUUUGUGAAAUGAAACUGGACCAUGCAGCUUGGAGAAAGGAAAUGGAAGCCAAAAUAACGGGGAUUAAUUAGUUGAUUGCUGUUGAGAUGGUAACAGAUUUGCUCCUAGACCAUUGAGCCAGUGAUUUCAGGCCUAGCAGGGAAGGUGAAGAUGAAGAAGCCUUUGUUAAGAUCUCUAGAUGUGUAGGACUGAGGGCUUUGGCUCCAUGGGAUGUCAACAGCCAUAAUAAUAAUAAUUUGCACUUAUAUAGCACCUUUCAAGUAGGCAUCUCAAGUGGGUUAACCACAUUAAUUAAUUAAAGCCUAUAAUCCCCCUGGGGAGAGGAGGAGGAUAACUAACAAGAUUUGUAAUUAUAGGAGGGAACAUUUCCGAAGGAAGUAUUGUCCACCAAAUAAAAAGAAUAGGUGCAAAGGAAUUGGGGUCUCCAAAGAGCAACUGAUUCAGAAAUGAAAUCACUGAAUGAUGGGAGAUAUCGGGGGCAGGCAUGGGUGUGGGGUUCUGCUCUUGUGUCAGAGGGAGGUUGAUGGCCUCAGAAUUCACUGACAGGUUUAGUUAGAUCCAGUGGAGAAGCAGAGCAUGUAUGGUAUUAGUGGCAUUUGGAAGGUCAUUAGUGGCAUAACUAUUGUAGUGUAAAUUCACAUUUCACUGGCAUAUUGUGUAUAGCCUUGCAAAACAAAGAGUGAGAUUCAUGCAGUAUUAAAUAAAGGAUGAAAUGACUUCUUUAGAUUUAAAGCCCAAAGCUGGCCAUUCAAUUAGCAAAUAAAUCACUUGGUGACCCAUGGGAUAAUUUAGUCAUUUCCAGUAGAACACCCAGCAUUCCUAUUCCUCCUGCCCAUAAGCUUUUGACCAAAGCAUCAAGCUGGGUGCAGCGCAAGGUUCUGGGGCUUCAGCCCCUUCCAAGUCAGACAUUAAAUCUUCCCAGUCUUUCCCAUUGGGACCCUCCUACCCAAGUUGUGAACCCAAACCAUCUGCUGCAAAAUCACUUUGUGCCUGCUCUCCCUUCGGAAAUUUUAAGUGCCUUGGGAGUGAGAAUCAAGUCAAAUUGUAUUUUCUAUCACUGUUCAACAGAGUGCUGUGUACAAAGUCAAUACAGAGUGAUGCAGAAUGGUUGAAUGUCUGAGUCCAUUUUAACAACUCAGUAUUUGCUAAGCACAUACCAAAUACUCAGGGGAAGCCUAAAAGUGAUAGGAUGUGUGCCCCAUCCUCAAGAAAUAUACUACAAAUGGACUCAAAAAUGAGUAGCUAUGAUAUAAAGCAGAAUAAAAUAAAGUAACAGAAUAGAUGCACAUCCAAGCCCCAUGCAGCAAGGGCAGGAAGAGGAACAUUUCACUGGCCUGGAGCCAACCAGGGAAGGUAUUCAAGGCAACAGCACAUGUGCUGGGCAUCAGAGGAAAGAAAGAUUUGUGUAGGCCUGGAAGUGGCAGGGACAGCAGACAUUUGAGGCUAAGGCCAUGUGUCUCCCUCUGAUGGAAGUACAUUUUGAGAACUUGUGGUUUUCCAUAGACUAUGUAGCUGAAAAACCAAGCAAAGUUUUGCAACUGAUUAAAUGUACAUUUCCCAUGAAUUCUCAUGACAUGAAUUGAGUCAAACAUGAAAGGAUAUUUGAGAAGUUAUUGAUGGGGUUCAGGGCAUGCUAUCCCAAAAUAUGGGAAAACAGCAAAAGUCAGUAUCUUCUUCCCCUGUCCCCUGAAGCAGAUCAUAAAAUCUUCAUUCCAGAGGUGCCCUCCCUAUACCAGGAGGAAAAGAAUGUCCUUAUCUCUGAAGACACAGGGAGGCAGUAAAGAAUAUGAACAAACAGGACUUGCUAAAAUCCCCCCACCCUGUUUAUUAUCAUUAGAUCAUACCCAUUCAUCUUCCAGUCAUAUUUUUAUAUACUAUCCACUCUUCAUCAAACCUAAGCAUAAAAAUGCACAGCCUGCCCUGUUUCUUUGAGUCUUCAUUUAUGAAGGCUCCCAUGUCACAUAAAAUUUAUGUCAAAUAAAUUUACAUGCUUUUUUCUUGUUAAUCUGUCUUUUGUUAUAAAGGCCCUAGCCAUGAUCCUUGUAAUGGGUGAGGCAAAGAUAAUACCUUUUCUCCCCUACAGUUUCUGGUACCCAGUGAGUGAUAGCUGAGACACCCCAGCCUCUCUGGAGCCUGUAGAUAAGGUCCUGGGACAACUGGCAAAAAGCCAGGGGAUAAAUUCCUACCAAGGUCAACUCUCUCCUUGAUCUCUAUCCAUAGUCCCCAAUCUAGAGAAGAAGAUUAAAAUUUCUUGUCCCUUCCUUUCCAAAUUUAGGAAAGAAACACUUGUUUGGAUUGUGAUUCUCUGGCUAAAUUUGGCUUUGGGGUACCCACUCAUCACGAAGCCUUUCCCUCCCAAAGACAGUGCCUCUUUUCUUGUCUCAUUUUUAUUUAAAAUUAGGCUUGUCUUUCCAUUUGUGAGGACAUACAUCUUGUGAAUUUGCACGUAUAGGGAGAUAGUUUCAGGCUGCAGAUCCCAAGCAUGUGGCUGGCUCGAAUUUGGGUUACACCCAUUAGUGGUUAAUAUACCUACUGGCACCAGCUCUUGAGGUCUAUCUGUGUUUGUCUUUUGGCUAUCUUUGGGAGUACUGCUGUCUUUGGGAGUACUGCUGUCCUUUGGCUAUCUUUUAGAGUACUUUGGGAAUCAUUUAAUGCCUUUCAUUUAAAAGAAGAAAAUGGUAAAUAAAUGUAUACGCUUUGCUCUCAUUAA